ACAUAUUGGGUUUUGUCCAUAUUCUGGGUCAUAACUCCCAGGUGCUGCAGGCCUCAGAAAACAUAAUCUCGCUCUCGUCUUCCCGUGCCCUCCUUUCACCUGCCCAAGGCAAGACCCUGAUCCCAUUGUGGGUCAUAAGACCUUCUUUCCCUGGAGGGCCCCAUACCCAGGAGGAAGGCAUGCUUCACAAAGAGGCCAUGGAGAAUCUGAAGACAGGCCUUGCUGGGCUUCCCCAGUCUAUUGGUAUUAGAUCAUACCCUUUCUGUCCAGUCACAUUUCAGCACAGUUGCCCAUGCUUCAGUCAUGCCUAUCCAAUGAAGUCUCCAUGAAAGGCCCAAGAGAACAGGGUUUGGGGAGCUUCCAGAGAGCUGAACGUGAGCAGGCUGACUGGAAAGUGAACAAGAACCCAUCCACGUGGCGGGCCGGGUACACUCCAACCCCCUGGGGACAGAAGCUUCUGCACUCAGGAACCUUGCAGACCUCGCCCUAUUGUCUUUUCAGCUGGCUGUUGUUUGUAUCCUUUAGAAUAUAGUUUGUAAUAAACCAGUAAGUGUGUGAUCCCUGAGUUACAUGAGCCACUGUAGCAAAUUAAUCAAAGCCAAAGAUAGAAGUCGUGGGAAUCCCAGUUGAAGCCUGUCGGUCAAAGGGCAGUCUUGUGGGACUGAGCCCUCAACCUGUGGUUUCUAAGACUGCCUACAGGUAGAUAACAUCAGAAUGUAAGUGGGUGGCUGGUGUACACUGCAGAAUUCAUUGUCGCUUGGUGUAUGGGAAGAAACCCACACGUUUGGACACAGUGAUCCAUUGUUGCCGAGUGAACGCAGUUUGCGUUGAUGUUUUUCUGCACUCAUGGGCUCUGUCACCGUUGAUGCUGUGGUGCAGGGAACUAGCCUGGGGUGCUCUUGGCUAUUUUUCACGCGCCAUUCUGGGGAUGCCCUUAGCGUUAGGGGCUGGCGUGUGGAUUUGACAGCUCACUAGAGCUGGAUGUAGAUGCAACUUUUCCGCCACGUGUAAUUUCUGUCCACAGAGGAGCUGUUGAGAGCUGUUCUUGCCAAGCUUUCCAACAUUCUCAGCUGCUGGGUAGUGGGUGCAGAGCAGAGCAGAGCGCUGGCGUCACUCAGCUCCUUGACUGUGUCCCUCCACCACAGGCCACUCCUGCAGGCCGUGGAGUACACCAGGCUGGCCAGGAUACUGCCUGCCUCUGGGAGCGCACACCAGAGAGUACUGAAGAGCACUGGAAGGAGCAGUUUGUUUUGAGCAGCAAUGAUCGAAUUUUAAUAAUUGGAGAAUUGAAGGAAGAGUCUGUAUGUUAUCAUCAAUAUUCGGUCUUUGUCCCAGGGUCCUGGACACAGGGCUCCUAAAACCCUUGGAAUUUCCCAAAUGUUAAGAGUAUCUAUUAUUAUUUUUAAUAGUCACCUUUUGAUCCAACCUGAGUUUAUGCUAAUGAGGUGACUUAGGUGGGACCGUUGAUAGCCUCAGGAUGGGCUGUCACCAAAAACACUAUGUGAUCAGAGAAUGGGGACUUUCAGCCCCUUGUAUUGACCUCCUAGGAGUAAGGGGGCACUGCAAAUAGCUCUUUAAAAACUUUAAUGGGAUCCGGUGAACUUGGGUUGCCCCCCAUCCCCUGCCCAGUUCAUCUCUUCCACUUGGCUGCUCUGCACUGUAUCCUUUAUGAUAAACCAGUGUGAGUACAGCAUCUCCCUGAGUUCUGUGAAUCAUUCGAGCAAAUUAUUGAACCUGAGUGGGUGCUGGGGUCGUGGGAACCCCUGAAUUGGGGGUUGGCCAGGCAGAAACACAGUAGUCCAGGUGCUGUGGCUGCCAUCUGAAGUGGGGACAGUCUUGCGGGACUGAGCCUCUGUGGAACCUGAGGCUGACUCCAGGUGGAAAGUGUCAGAAUUGAAUUGUUGGAGGCCCAGUUGGUGUCAGAGAAGUGCUGCUGGGAAACGCCACACAGCAUUCCAGGCUGAGGUAAAAAUAACAAAUAACGAGUGUCCUACUCCGGUAGAGGUCCUCCAGCCCGGUUCGCUGCGCCUCCGCGGCUGCCCGCCCCAGAGCUCAGGUCCCCCAAAAUCAUAAAAGCAGGAAAACGCAAGACAAAGAAAUCCAACAAGGCUAGUGAUUUCAGCCAUAUGGCGAAUUGGCCAACACCGAGUGAAUUAGUGAACACUGGAUGUCAGAGUGUCAUCAGCCAAGGAAAUAAGAAACUACAAAAUAGAAAAGAAAAAGAAGAAAAGGUUGAAAAGAGAAGUAACAGUGAGAGCAAAGAAAACAGGGAAACUAAAUUAGAUGGUCCUGGCGAAAAUGUCAGUGAGGAUGAGGCUCAGUCAAGUAAUCAACGAAAGAGAGCUAAUAAGCACAAGUGGGUACAUCAUCUAAGUCACUUAGAUGAUGUAAGACCAGACAGUUAAGAAGACCUGGAUCCCAGAACAGCUCAAGGUGUCAACCUGAAGCAAAUAAACCAGCACAUAACAAUAGGAGAAAUGAUACAUGAAGUUGGAGGAGAGACAGAGAAAAGAGAUGAUCAAGAUGAAGUUUCCAGUGUGAGAAGUGAGGGUGGUAAUAUCCAAGGUUCCUUUAGAGGCCGAGGACGGAGAAGAGGACGAGGCAGAGGAAAUCCUCGAUUGAACUUUGAUUAUUCAUAUGGUUAUCGAGAACAUGGUGAAAGGACUGAUCAACCAUUUCAAACAGAAGUUAAUACCAGUAUGAUAUAUUACUAUGAUGAUGGUACAGGUGUACAGGCGUAUCCUGUGGAAGAAGUAUUGCUUAAAGAGUAUAUUAAGCGUCAAAUUGAAUAUUACUUCAGUAUAGAAAACUUGGAACAGGACUUCUUUCUUCGGAGAAGGAUGGAUGAACAAGGUUUCUUGCCUAUUUCCCUGAUUGCUGGUUUUCACUGUGUUGAGGCUCUCACUACAAACCUUAAUCUCAUCUUAGAGGCACUGAAAGAUAGCACAGAAGUAGAAAUUGUGGAUGAGAAAAAAGAUAGAACCAGAAAAAUGGCCAAUUCCAGGUCCUCCUCCAUGUAAUGUGCCACAAACAGACUUCUCUCAACUGAUUGAUUGUCCAGAGUUUGUACCAGGCCAAGCCUUUUAUUCACAUACAGGUAACAACUUUUCUUCUAGAACAAACAACGUAACAGUAGGUUAUUUGGUCCAAUUUGUCUAUCCUUUUUUUAGUUUAUUUAGAUUCAGUAAGAAAAUUUAUGAUAAAUGACUGGAUGCUCCAAAUUGUAUUCAUACUGCCU